rnacentral:tRNA from 1 species
GGAAAGAUGCUCGAGUGGCUUAAGAGGCACGCCUGGAAAGCGUGUAGGCGCCAAAAGUGCCACGGGGGUUCGAAUCCCCCUCUUUCCG